UACGGAGGGUGCGAGCGUUACCCGGAUUUACUGGGUGUAAAGGGCGUGUAGGCGGUCUCUCAAGUCCGAUGCUAAAGACCGAAGCUCAACUUCGGGGGUGCGUUGGAUACUGUGAGGCUAGACGGUCGGAGGGGGUAGCGGAAUUUCCGGAGUAGCGGUGAAAUGCGCAGAUACCGGAAGGAACGCCGAUAGCGAAGGCAGCUACCUGGACGAUUGGUGACGCUGAGACGCGAAAGCGUGGGGAGCAAACCGG
rnacentral:rRNA from 1 species